UAAACCACAGCCGUUUAAAGAUUUCCUUUG
rnacentral:piRNA from 1 species